GGGGGACAACAGUUGGAAACGACUGCUAAUACCGCAUAAUGUCUACGGACCAAAGCAGGGGACCUUCGGGCCUUGCGUCUUUCGAUGAGCCCAAGUGGGAUUAGCUAGUUGGUAAGGUAAUGGCUUACCAAGGCGACGAUCCCUAGCGGGUCUUAGAGGAUGACCAGCCACACUGGAACUGAGACACGGUCCAGACUCCUACGGGAGGCAGCAGUGGGAAAUAUUGCACAAUGGAGGAAACUCUGAUGCAGCCAUGCCGCGUGUGUGAAGAAGGCUUUCGGGUUGUAAAGCACUUUCAGCGAGGAGGAAAGGGCAUGCGUUAAUAGCGUAUGUCUGUGACGUUACUCGCAGAAGAAGCACCGGCUAACUCCGUGCCAGCAGCCGCAGUAAUACGGAGGGUGCGAGCGUUAAUCGGAAUUACUGGGCGUAAAGCGCGCGUAGGUGGUUAAUUAAGUCAGAUGUGAAAGCCCAGGGCUCAACCUUGGAACUGCAUUUGAAACUGGUUAACUAGAGUUUUGUAGAGGGUGGUAGAAUUUCAGGUGUAGCGGUGAAAUGCGUAGAGAUCUGAAGGAAUACCAGUGGCGAAGGCGGCCACCUGGACAAAGACUGACACUGAGGCGCGAAGGCGUGGGGAGCAAACGGGAUUAGAUACCCCGGUAGUCCACGCAGUAAACGAUGUCUAUUAGAAGUUUGUGGCUAUAUGCCGUGGGUUUCAAAGCUAACGCAUUAAAUAGACCGCCUGGGGAGUACGGCCGCAAGGUUAAAACUCAAAUGAAUUGACGGGGGCCCGCACAAGCGGUGGAGCAUGUGGUUUAAUUCGAUGCAACGCGAAGAACCUUACCAUCCCUUGACAUCCAGAGAAUCACCUAGAGAUAGAUGAGUGCCUUCGGGAACUCUGAGACAGGUGCUGCAUGGCCGUCGUCAGCACGUGUUGUGAAAUGUUGGGUUAAGUCCCGCAACGAGCGCAACCCUUAUCCUUAGUUGCCAGCACGUAAUGGUGGGAACUCUAGGGAGACUGCCGGUGAUAAACCGGAGGAAGGUGGGGACGACGUCAAGUCAUCAUGGCCCUUACGGGAUGGGCUACACACGUGCUACAAUGGCAGAUACAAAGGGUUGCUAACCAGCGAUGGUAUGCGAAUCUCAUAAAGUCUGUCGUAGUCCGGAUCGGAGUCUGCAACUCGACUCCGUGAAGUUGGAAUCGCUAGUAAUCGUGGAUCAGAAUGCCACGGUGAAUACGUUCCCGGGCCUUGUACACACCGCCCGUCACACCAUGGGAGUGGGCUGCACCAGAAGUCAUUAGCUUAACCCUU
rnacentral:rRNA from 1 species